UCUUGAGUCUGAUUCUCUCUCCAAAUGUUUAAAAUUUUUUGUUUUGACUCUAAGAGAUUGCAGCUUCCUGUCUCCCAGAUUCUCCCCUAGGUUCCACUCUUUUCCCAGAGGCAAAGUAAUUUGGGUGGAUAAAGUGGAAAAGACUUUGGGUAAGGUGUGCUGCUCUGCUCCCAGCUCUGCUCAACCACCCUUGUUCAUGCCCAGGGUAUCCAGUCAUAAUUGGAGCCCCACCUGGAAUAUCUUGGUGCCGGGUGCUCCCCAGCUCUCUUUACCUACACAACCGCCUUAGGGCAGUUCUCAGGUGUGUUGUUAUCUAUGCCAAGGAUACUUUUUAAAAAAAAUUAUAUUUCUGCCUGCCUGCCAGCUCAUUUUCCUUCCUUCUUUUUUUGCCUUAAAAUAUUAUUCCCUUCUUUUUCUAAAUAAUCACAACAGGAAGGAGUGGCCACUCCUGCAAGUGGAAACUGAAAUGUUUCAGAUUGCUAAAGUGAGAUCAAGAUAGAAAUUCACAUAUAUUAGAAUAUCAUGCGAGGAAUACUCAAAGAGUUGGGAAGAGAUUCCCGCACUGUUUUCCGCAUCCCCAAAGCGCAAGUACUCAAUUUAAAAAUCUUCAAUAGAAUUGAAUCCUGCUCUCAUUGGAGGAAAGGAACAGAAUCUGAUGGAGAGAAACAGCAAACAACAAAAGCCAAGAAUCUCAAAGGAAAUAAAGCAAUGAAUAGGACUGUUAUCAUACAGUCCUUUACGUUGUUUUUAUCAGAAGAAACGGACUCAGUACCAAAAAUGGAGGGAAUCACUAAGGCAAACAUUCAUUUUUGGGGUGUUCGUGCCCUCCGUGGCAAUCCCCAUUUUAUUGAGGAUGUUGCUUCUUAGUUUUUCCGAGGACUUUGUUUUCUCACAGGAGAUGGAUGUUCCUUUGCCUUCUUAGGAUAGGGACUCAAGUCCUCUUGAAUUUUGGGACUUUUCUUGGCCACGAUAAUUUCAUCUAUGGUCACGAGCUGCAGUGCCACAUCAGCCGCGGCUCGGAGUCCUUGGGCUUUGGCUGUUAGGGUGUCCCACACCUCCUCCUCGACCACAUUAAUUAUCCCUUCGGUUCCUACUCCUGUGAGGAAGUUCCCAGCUUGGUGAGCUCCAUGCAUUUCUGCCAUCACUUCUGAGACAGCUAAGCCUGCGUUCUCUGCCAAGGUUUCUGGAAGAGACCUCAGAGCAUGGGCAAAUGCUAGGAAUGCAGGACCCCUAGGCCCUUCCAAUUUCCUUCCUUUGUCUGAGAGUAUUUUCACCAGAGCCAUCUCUGUGGCCCCAGCUCCUGGAAGCAGUCUGGGAUCCUGACACAACUGGAAAUAGGCAUCAAUCCCAUGGUAGGCAGCCUGCUCUACACCACGCAGCCCCUCAGUGGUGGGCCCCCUGAGGACCAAGGUGAGGGCAGGGGUGCCUAGACAUUCCCAUUCAAAAACCACAGCCAAACCUUCUCCCAGCUCCUGCCGGUACACCCUGUGGCACUUCCCUGGCUUCAGGGGAGGAAGCAGAUAAGGCAUCAAAGGUGUGCCCAGUACUUCACUCAGGUAAACCAUCUCCCGCCGGGACUUCGCUUGAAUCACCAUGAUGCCAUGCUUAUCAGCCUGUGGUAGGGUAUUCUCGUCGACUUCCCCCCAUACCACCGCCACGUUAAUAUCCGCGCUCGCCAGCUGGCCCACCUGCUUUUCCAUCAAUUUCUCGCUGCCUUCCCUGAACUGAGUUAGGUCGUCAGGACUGCAGAGACGUGCAGUUGCCGGUCCACUUGGACUGGCAGGACCGAAGGCGCAAGCGAAGAGAGCCACCCUGGCGCCUCUCGGCACCGCGGUCACCUUCCCGCAGGCCUUGCCGGCCACGGCCAGCCCCGGGAGCAGGCACGAGUCCUCCAGCCUUCCUCCGGGCAGCGCGCACACGCCCACGCGCUCGGGUUGGAAGCUGCCGUCCAGCUCCCUGGCCGCCCAGCAGGCGUGGGCCACCAGCUUGGUCAAGCCGGACGUCUGGCACGGAGUGUGCGUAUUUAUCGCCGAAUAGAGGGCCCAAAACGGGUUUUCCAACGGCCCCAGAGAGCGGACGGCCAGGCCAGGCAGCUGGGCCAGUGUCUCCGCGGCGGCGGCGGCGUAGGCCUCCCGGAGCUGCGAGCGCGGCAGGCCGGCCCGCAGCAGCCGCUCGGCCCGCUCCAGCAGCGCCGAGGCCAGCAGGACCACGAAGGCCGCGCCGUCGCCGCUCUGCUCCGCCUGCGUUUGCGCGGCUUCCCGCAGCAGCCGGGCGGCCGGGUGCUCCAGCUCCAGGGCGCGGAGGAUGGCCGCGGCGUACCCCGUGACCACGGUGUCUCCUCGGGCGGUCACCAGGAGCUUCUGCCGCCCGUGGGGGCCGUAGCAGGGCCGGAUGACUCUGGCCAGGGCCUGCGCCGCGGCCACGCUGCUGAGCACGUGCUGCUCCUCGGCUCCUGGACUCCUCGGGCGCUGCCCCGGGCCGGGCUCCAGCCGCUCGGGCAGCCCGGUCGCCGAAGGGGCUCUGCUGCCCAUGGCUCACGGAGAGAGGCACCACCAGGGCCGCAGGGGCGCAGUGGACUCUUUGAAAAUGCUCAGGGGGUCUGUGGAAGGAGGAGCCAAACGGCCAUCAGUUGGUAUCUGGCGAAGCAGGUGCUCUGGGCUGGGGGCAACGAUGUUCUGCUGAGAGCUCAGGACCAAACCAGCCCCGAACUGGUUUGUAAAGGAAGCCGGCUCCUGGGGCCUUGGAAGCUUGUAGCUGAAACAUCUUAUCUUGAUGAAGUCACAGAGUGGCACGUGGAACUGGGGGCAGGUAAUGAGGUCACAGAAGGGUGGUGUCUGGGAGGCCCGGGGCAGACAGAAGUCAGGCCUGGUUGUCCAGCAGCUGAGGGACACACGUGUGUGCCAGGCCGCAGAGUUUCCCUCAAACGUUGGAAACAGUGAAGAGGAAAUCCGGAGAAAACACCUGCUGCUUCAAAUUCCCCAUGAAGCUGUGGCUCCUCUGUUGUUUGUUUCCGAGAGGGAAACAGAAAUAUGAUGUCUGUGCUUUAUUUUGUCUCAUUUUCUUGUGCGGCACUGUAAUACUAGCCAUGUUUUGUUAUCUCUCUGCCUUUGCCUCUUGCGCCACCUUAUCCGUUUGUGCUGUUCAUCAGGCUCCUUAUGUGUCUACUGGUCUGUGUGUCUUUCAGGUUGCAGGUGUGCAAGGCUGCACGGUGUGCAACAACUGCUGCCAAUGACUGUGAUGUCACUGAGUUGGAAAAGGCCAUGAGAGCUGUGAUGGGGAAAGCACAGGUGUUGUAGCAGCAUCCAGGGGGACACAUAACCGUCAUCAUGGAGAGAGCGGUGGUCAGGCACGGAAGUGAAGUCUAAAAAAAGAAGAGACACACAGAGAACAUCAUGUGAGGACACAGACACACAGGGAAGACGGCCAUGUGAUGACGGAGGCCGAGAUUGGAGGGAUGUAUCUACAAGCCAAGGAACGCCCAGGAAUGUGGGCAACCCCCGGAAGCUGAGAGAGGCCAGGAAUAGGUUGUUCCUCAGAGCUUGCCACAAGGAAGCAGCCCUGCUGACACCUUGAUCGUGGACUGGUCGCUACCGGAACUGAGAGACAAUAAAUUUCUGUUGUUUGAAGCCCCCCAGUGUGUGGCAGUUUGCUGUGGCAGCCUUAGGGAUCUAAAACAGUAGUCCUGCACGUGAAUGAAGGAGAGGAACCUAAGAGAGUGUGUGUGUGUGUGUGUUUGUGAGAGAGGGAGAGAAUGAG
ensembl:lncRNA